CAUGUGGAUGCUAGUUGAGAACCACUGAUCUAAGUAAAUAUUUUCACAUCCACACAUUGUUUAAAACAUGAAGAUAUAUGUAGUAUAUGAAUGCAUAUCUACGUGAGAGUGUAGCAUAUAUGUUCUGGGCUAAAGUUAAUGUUUACUAUAUUUCUCAAAUACCCACUAAUUCCAUAUAUUCAACUAUCGAUCCUAGUUGUUCUCUCUCUGUCUCUCUCUCUUUCUGUGUGUUUGUCUAUCCUUUUUGAACAUCACCCUACUGCUGUAUAAGUGUAUCAUUGUAACACCUGUUGCUUACUCCUUAUGUCUCUCUCAUUUUGACCAUCACCA